rnacentral:tRNA from 1 species
UGUUCUGUAGCAUAGUUCUACGCGCCGGAUCUACUAUACGGAGUCGUGGGUUAGAAUCUCACCAGAACAA